UCAGCCCCGCGGCCCCUCGCCACUUUCCUCCCUGCACACUCCGCUGGUUGGUGGCGCUUCCCCAUCCGUUAGCCUCCAGCGCUGGGAAGCCUGUCGUUUCCUCCUGUGGUGGCCGGGUGUGGGGGGCGUGUGGCACGUUCCUGGUGAUGGGGGCUGCAGGGGCUCGGCUCUCCCGGGCCCAGGAGGCAGGCGAAGCCCUCGGUUUGUUGGGUAGCGAAGGCAGGUAGUUCAGGAAGGAGAGUUCACGCUUGUCUCAAGCAGCCACCUGCCGCCCUGGGGACCUGGAGCAGUGGCCCAGGAGGUUGUGCUCAAGUGACAUUGAGGAGAAACCAUAAUCCAGCAGCAAUAAUCCAGCUGUACUGACACCAUUAGGGAGCUUGUUCUGGAUCACAGGGAGGUGGGUGGACGAGCGCACAGAGCUCAUUGCUGAACUACUGAAGUUGGCUCCCUGGCUCCUGCACAUGCAAAACAUUUGAAUUUCCUGUUGGCUCAGAGUGUUUGCAUUGCAAGUGACAUCUGGCUGACAGGAACCUGGAGAAAUGGGAUACAAAGUGAAUGCUGCAGUUACCACGGUAUCAUAUUUAUCAAAAGGCUUAAGGCUUCUAAUAGCUGGAAAAAAUUCUGAAAUGGAAAGGAACACAGGCAACACAAAAAGAAAUGGAACUUUUCAAUAUCAGCUGAAGUGAUCAUAUGGUAUGAGAGUUCUUGAACAGGAGGUAAUCUGACACGAAGCUUAUUUACAGCCUAGAUACCUGAUGUAUUACUUCAUCAGCAAAUUCAACACGGCCAAGAUGUCUUCAUUUUCCUUCAGAGCAAGAGCUGUAAGAGCAGUGUGGUGGAAGUAUUGGUCUUCCGUGGCCGGCCAGCCAGCGAGAACCCAUCAACAGCUGUGAUGAGCAAAGCAGACAUGGGAGACAGGAGGCAGCUGAAGCCAAAGAGGACCCACGCCUGGAGCCGUGUCUGUGUGAUUGGAGCAGAGAGAGGCCAGGACCCAAGGAAAUCCCAGCAGCAAGGGAAAAAAACAGAUUGACUCUCAGUGACUCAUUUAGCUCCUGGAUUGGACAGAUCUCUCCCCUGCUGGCAAUUUGGCUGAGCAUCAAUGGACAGAUACCAGGAUGAAUAGCUUAAAAUAAUUAGGGGUUGGGAAUUUGCAAAACUGCUAGCCAUCCAAUUCUUUACUGUGCAAUGUGAGGCAGAAAAAAGAAAUUACAUUUAGGUUAUUAAAUAUUAAGUCAGUGGAUUUACUUCCAUUUGGUGCAGAACAGGAAAUUGGCUAAAAUUCAACAUUUAUAUCAUUGUGUUGAUGGUCUGUUUAUCACUGAGCAAGUAAGUGCCUUUUGGCAGGUCAAGCUCUUUGACACAUGGGGCAAAUGUGUGCUUAAUUUCUCCCAAACAGAAGAAUUAAUAUAAUAAUAAUUAACACAGAUGAGAACAGAAUUAAAAUCAAGUACAGUCAGGAGUUCAGUUUAAUGCCAGGUGUCUCACAUUCUAGAUGUUCUGGGGCCAGAUUUUUCCUGUUGAAGGCAACAAGGAUUUUGCCUUUGGCACUUAUGGGAGCUGAAGUGGGCCUUGGAUAUAGAGAGACAGGAUUCCCUGUACUUUCUAUUAAAUGCACAAAACCAGAAGCAACAGGCUCAUUUAGUAUCAGUAAAGGUCAGUUAAAAUUAUAGAGACAUCCUUUGGAGCAAAUCCUCUGCCUUGUAUUUGCAUAUUUAUGAAUUAGAGAUUACGACAGGCUAUUUCAUUUAUUAGGGCAGCACUGCUAUAGUUAAUAGUCUGUCAGUAUUUCCAUUAUAAACCCCGUUUUUCAGUGUUUAAUAUCUCAGCCAUUUAAAAUCACAUCAGGAAGCAAGUUGGUCUUAUGUUGCUGGCCAGGUGCAAUUUAUUGUUAUGGAUUAUUUUCAAUAAUGCAAUACUGCUCAUCAUAUAUGCAGAUGAGCCACAGCAUUUCUGUUGGAGGGACAUAGCAAGGUGUGUAGAUUCAUUGUGGCUUUGUUUUUCUUUAGGAAAGAAGGGUAAAGAGGGAUUUGACCAAUCAUGUCAACUGCAGUCUUAUGUUUGAAGAACAGUUUUUCAAGCAACUGCUCUCAGAGGAAACACUGGUUCUCAGCAGGAAGUCAGAGGUGUGUCCAGAGCUACUGUGUCAGCACAAGUUCCAAAAAGCUUGUGGUAAAGUGUCUGCUUUCACCGCUCAGACUCAAGCUGAUGAAAGGAUUUGAGGAAAAGUGCUGUGGGCAAUGAAGAAUGAUGAAGAUCAUUUAGAUGAGCUGCAGGUACUUAGCACUUUCGAAAUGCAAGCUCAAGGCAGGCUGUAAGGAACAUCUACACUUAGAGAAGUCUUUCUGGAAAGCCAAUGGAAAUUAUUUGCUCAAAUAUUAGUGCAUCACGACGAGAUUUUUUGAAGCUGAUUGUUACCCCAUGGAAUCCAAAUCACAAGCUCCUCCAGCAAUCAGUGGAACUAUUAAUUAACCUGAGGGCAGUCCCUGGCCCACUGCGAGCAUGGCAGGAUCCAUGCUAGGGGGCAGAGGAAGAUACGGGCUCACAUUCCAGCAAAGAUGUCCAUAGAGGAGAAGGGAGAUCAAGCACAUCAGUGAAAAGGGUGGCUGGUUGGGAUUGCAUCUGUGAAGCAGCACAGUCACCAAGGAGCAGGUUGGAGAAGAAACAGCGCUUUUGUACCCAUGGCACGAGACAGGGGGCCCUCAGGAGUCAGGCACCCGCUGUGGUUGGUGGGGUACAAACAAAUUCCUUGGAGUCCCAAGAUGCUCCCAAGCAUAAAAUAUCUAUCCAGAUUUCAAGUCAACCAGGAAUGGUACAAGCUUGGCCAGGGACUCCAGGCAGUGGCUGGUGGGUUCUGUGAGGCCUAGGGGCAAGAGCUCUGUGGCUUCCCAGGAAUAUCAAAUAGAAAAGCAAAUAGUUGCCAGCAAACCCCAGGUGCACACAGUUAUGAUUAAGGAGCUAUAGUAGCCCUGUUUGCACAGCUCUAACAAGUCAGGACCUGCAGAACGUUAUUGGCUUGGGGCCCACAACUUGCCGUCCAUCCUCAACAGAAUCAAUCUGGAGCUGAAAACAUCCCCGUAGGAAGUGUACACAUCCCUGCUUUUACAGGAACAGAAAGCAAUAACUUCAGGUCCUGUAAGCUGCAAGUUCAACUUACAGAGAUCAGCCCUGACUUGUCAUCGCUCUCAGCAUGUUGGUGAUGAGAUCAGAGCACUUCACCAAGGACUCAUACUUCCAGCUUGACAAGGGACAGAGGUGAGCGUGCUACACCUCACGGUUACUCGCCUCUCCAACUGCAGAAAGGAAUCGAGAGCUCCUCUGUUUAAUAUGCAGUCACAGCACUGCCAAUCUAAAAUGGCUGAUCAGUAAUACUUUAAUUGCAGUUUCAUAGAAACAAAUUGCUAUUUAAUUGCAAUAAGCCUGUCUGUGGCUUAGCUGGACUGACAAUAGGCAUACACCUGGUAGUAACAGUAACAAGCAGCAAGGGUUAUCUGGUACCGCAUGUACAGGAGGCUCAGGCAGUGCCAUCAAACCCAGAACACAAGUUCACAAUGACUAAAUGUAAUACUUAAAAAAAAAUGUAUAUGCAUAAAUUUCCUAAUCUCAAUUUGAUUUUUUAUUCUAAUAGAGCUGUUCAGAAUAGAGACUUGCAAAAUCUGCACGCUUCACACAGAACUACCAGCAAAAUACUUUGACGGGAGAUUUAAAUUGAAAUGAUCUUUUGAAAUCACAGAAUCGGGUUGGAAAAGACCGCUGAGAUCAUCAAGUCAAACUGACAGUGGCACUCAGUGCCGUAUCCAGUCUUUCCUUUAACACCUCCAGGAGCAGUGACUCCACCACCUUGACAGCAAGGCAUACUCUGCCAGUAUGUGAGCUUGGGGGUUUUUUAGUAUUUACCCUAAUGUUAGGUGUUGCAAAUUUCAUCGGUGUUAACUAACAGGGAAAAAGAGAGACAAACUCAGUGUGGUUAAUAUUCUGAAGAUGUGACUUAAUUUCAUAGCCUUCAUUUUGCUAAGACAUUCUCAUUUUAUAUUUCAUAAGAUACUGCAUAACCUGUUAAAAUAUUUAAAGAUAAAUCGUGUAGGACUGAAAAGACAGUAUCUUGUUGCAAACGGAAUUUGGUUUGGAAAGGCUUAAUGUCCCACUCCCUGCCAGGAUGCGUAAAUCUCAUAACUAGACAGCUGGAUAGGUAAAAACAUUAAACCCAUUUAGAGGGCAAUCUUUUUACAAAAUUGUUUCAUUAAUAAGAGUGACAAUUUAUAUGAUUGAGAUGUUUAGAUGCAGUAUAGACAGAGCAUUUUAUCCAGGUUCAUGAGGAUGAUUUCAGAUUAGUAAUAUUUCCUUUGAUUCUUUUUUUAACAGCAUUCAUUUUUGAAAGUAAGGGAAGCUCUUAUUGAAUGAUUAUUUGACUUUUCAGCAGCACUAAAUGCAAAGGGUGUAUUUCCGCCUCAGUGCAGCAAAUAUGUGCAAUAAAAGGUGAACAUGUAUGUGUUUUCCUUUACAGAUCUCCUUAAAAAGAAGUUAUUUUUCACAGAAGGACAAAUCUGAGUGUUUCCAGUAGCCUUCUGCCCACACCUACCGUCCCCAUUACAGCCUGUUUCAUUGUGCGAAAUGCCUCUGGUUUCAAGGAAGUGUUUUACCUAAAGCAAGAAUACUACUUAAAUAUGUUCUAUUGUAUAUUCAUAGCUCCAUUAGUCCUCCUGCAAUUUAGCACAUCAAAGCAAAGGCUUCAUCACUUGCAUGUGGAUUAUGCUAACAUGAGUGACAUUUGUAAUCUUAUAGGUCUGCAACUUAAGAAAUGCUUUUAAAGUAAGCUAUUAAAUAGGUAGCUGUGCUUUACAAAUGAGUCAUAUAAUAGUUUAUUUAAAGCUGUUAAUGAACUUCAACCUCUACAUCACUAAAUGCUAUACUACAUUACUUACUAGAAGUUAUUAGCUAUCGUCUUAGCACUUCUAGGUUAUAUUGGACAACCAAAAAUCUGUACAUGUUAGAUUUAAACACUGUACCUUGAGUGCUUAUACUGAAAGAAUAUAAAAAGAUGUCUACAGUCUCACUAAUACUUGAAUUCUAUAUUCACAUGACUUCAAGUGUCUUUUCAAAGAUAUUGAAACAGCACAAUUUGCAGGACUCUGAAGACUUUAAUGCCAGAUCAAAAAGCUUAGAAACUUAUUUAAAAUACCCACAAGUGCAUUUAAUUAAAAGUCAUACAUGGUGUCAGUCACUUAUGUUAUGCUUUAUAUGUUAUGCAAGUAGUCUUUUGUCUUUACUGUCUGAUAACUGUACGUUGUUACAUUUUCUUCUCUCCAAAACAGUGCUUCUUCCUCAAGCACUGAAGUGUUAAAAGAAGAAAUUCAGCAGCCCUCCAAUAUACUGGAGGUCAUGAAGUAGAAUCUGAAACAAAAAUAUCUGCUGUUGGUUGUUUAGACAGUUAAAUCUAUAAAUCAGCUUUUUGUGUAUUGGCAUCACAACAAAAAUAAGUCAAGCUCACUCCAUAACCAAGCAGCUGAGCAGUGAACACCUUUUCAAAAAAAGAAUUAAAGAAAAUAAUGUGUUGUGACUGUAUUAGUUUCCUAUAAAAGUAGAGUAUUUCUUAAUAUAGAUUUGCUUUGAAUUGCAGCAAAGGCAGAUUCGUUGAUUGCAGGUUCCUGACCGAAGGCAUACAGUGGACAGCCACAGAUCCACCUUACUAUUCUUGCUAAAAACAUGAAAAAUCAAAUUUUUUUCUGAAAAAUAUUCUGCACAGAUCUACCACAAAACGGCUGAAAAACAUGCAAAAUGAAGUUGUUCCUUUUUUAAGCUUAGAGAUGGUUCUGCUGCUUUAUGGGGAGGUGGGUUUUGUUUGUUUGCUUUCAGAGAACAGAUCAUAUUUUAAGAUCAGCUAGUUCUCAGAAAUAGCCCAGGAAACAGGUUUUUCUUUCCUUAAGAUUAUGAGUGUUGAAAAGUUGAAGUCUCUUACCCCAGCAAACACAACUUUAUGUUGUUCAGAUCAGAAUAGCUAUUGUAUUCCUUUUCAUGAACAUUCAAUUCUAGUGCUCAGCAUGAGGUAAAGACCUUUCAUUGGCUUUUAUUUUUUUGACCUCUUAUUGUAUAUUCAUACCCUCUUAUGCUUGCAUGCUCAGAGACACAGGCACAUCCUUAACACAGAAGGAACUGGAAAGAAAGAGACCACAGUACUUUCUGUAUGUGCUGUAAUUCACUGCAAUAGGAAUUAUAAUGUACUUGCUGUAACCAGAAUUAAAAAUCUCCAUGAAAAAAAAAAUUUUUUUUGAAGUAGUACUCAUUAUCCUUUCCACAAGUAACCCGGUCAAGUAGUUUAGCAGAAUCUUUCCUGGCAUAAGACAAAAGAACAAAUCCAAACCAAAAACCUACUUUUAAAGAUAAUUGACAAAUAAGGUAAGAUGAAGUUGCAGAAUGUUUUGAAUGUAUGAAAAAAAAAAAAAAAAGCAAAGCUUUCAAAACCCAUACUCAGUU